rnacentral:rRNA from 1 species
GCCUGGCCCUAAAUCUUGACGCUCGAUAUUACCUGAGCGUCCGCCCGAGAACUACGAGCACAAACGCUUAAAACUCUAAGGACUUGGCGGUGCUCCAAACCCACCUAGAGGAGCCUGUUCUGUAAUCGAUGAUCCACGAUAUUACCUGACCAUUCCUUGCACGAAACAGCCUAUAUACCGCCGUCGCCAGCCCACCUUUCCUGACAGCCCAACAGUGGACGCAAUAGCCUAACCCGCUAGCAAGACAGGUCAAGGUAUAGCCUAUGGAAUGGAAGCAAUGGGCUACAUUUUCUARAUUAGAACAUACGGAUAGGGGUAUGAAAUUGCCCCUGGAAGGCGGAUUUAGCAGUAAAGAGAGACAAUCGAGCUCUCUUUAAGCCGGCUCUGGAGCACGU